rnacentral:rRNA from 1 species
GGUGAACGCUGGCGGUGUGCCUAAUACAUGCAAGUCGAGCGAACAGACGGUAAGCUUUCUCCUCUAAGGUUAGCGGCGGACGGGCGGGUAAGAAGUAGAUCACCUACCUCUAAUUCUUGGGGAAAAACGGGGGAAAAGAUCUGCUAACAGCUCAUAUAUUGAACCGGCUGAAUCAGUGGUUCUAGGAAGUUUUGCCGAUACAUAUAGCUGAUGUCGGAUUAGCUAGUUGGCUGGGUAAAGGCCCACCAAGGCGACGAUCCGUAGCUGGUCUGAGAGGAUGAUCAGCCACACUGGAACUGAGACACGGUCCAGACUCCUACGGGAGGCAGCAGUGGGGAAUAUUGGACAAUGGGCGCAAGCCUGAUCCAGCCAUACCGCGUGGGUGAAGAAGGCCUUCGGGUUGUAAAGCCCUUUUGUUGGGAAAGAAAAGCAGCAGGUUAAUACCCCGCUGUUCUGACGGUACCCAAAGAAUAAGCACCGGCUAACUUCGUG